rnacentral:rRNA from 1 species
UACGUAGGGGGCAAGCGUUGUCCGGAAUCAUUGGGCGUAAAGCGCGCGUAGGCGGCCCGGUAAGUCCGCUCUGAAAGUCCAGGGCUCAACCCUGGAAAGCGGGUGGAUACUGCCGGGCUAGAAUCCGGAAGAGGCGAGCGGAAUUCCCGGUGUAGCGGUGAAAUGCGUAGAGAUCGGGAAGAACAUCGGUGGCGAAGGCGCUCUACUGGACCACAACUGACACUCAGGGACGAAAGCUAGGGGAGCGAAUGGG